UACGUAGGGGGCAAGCGUUGUCCGGAUUUAUUGGGCGUAAAGAGCGUGUAGGCGGCCAUACAGGUCAGCUGUGAAAACUCGAGGCUCAACCUCGAGACGUCGGUUGAAACCGUAUGGCUAGAGUCCGGAAGAGGAGAGUGGAAUUCCUGGUGUAGCGGUGAAAUGCGCAGAUAUCAGGGGGAACACCGGUGGCGAAGGCGGUUCUCUGGGCCUUACCUGACGCUGAGGAGCGAAAGCGUGGGGAGCAAACGGG
rnacentral:rRNA from 1 species